CGCUCGUUGGCUCAGCUGGUAGUAGCGUGGGGCUGUUAACCUCAAGGUCACUGGUUCGAUCCCAGAUCGAGCGU
rnacentral:tRNA from 1 species